CAGCAGCCGCGGGAAUACGGAGGGUGCAAGCGUUAUCCGGAUUUAUUGGGUUUAAAGGGUCCGUAGGCGGAUCUGUAAGUCAGUGGUGAAAUCUCACAGCUUAACUGUGAAACUGCCAUUGAUACUGCAGGUCUUGAGUAAAUUUGAAGUGGCUGGAAUAAGUAGUGUAGCGGUGAAAUGCAUAGAUAUUACUUAGAACACCAAUUGCGAAGGCAGGUCACUAAGAUUUAACUGACGCUGAUGGACGAAAGCGUGGGGAGCGAACAGGAUUAGAUACCCGAGUAGUCCCUGUCUCUUAUAC
rnacentral:rRNA from 1 species